UACGGAGGGUGCAAGCGUUAUCCGGAUUUACUGGGCUUAAAGGGUGCGUAGGCGGGCAGGUAAGUCUGUGGUGAAAUCCCCGAGCUUAACUUGGGAACUGCCAUGGAUACUAUUUGUCUUGAAUACCGUGGAGGUGAGCGGAACAUGGCAUGUAGCGGUGAAAUGCUUAGAUAUGCCAUAGAACACCGAUUGCGAAGGCAGCUCACUACACGGUGAUUGACGCUGAUGCACGAAAGCGUGGGGAGCGAACAGG
rnacentral:rRNA from 1 species